rnacentral:lncRNA from 1 species
ACUCGCAUCGGUCUGUCCAAUUAUUUGUCUUUAUUCUAUAACCCUUUGCUCCAUCUACACUCACAGGUUCUGACAUUGUCUUUUACUAAGUGUGUGCUUCUGCUGUUUCUUAACAGAUCGAUGUACAACACUUAUGCAUUACAAUCAGGAGAAAUCCAUGCAGAAGAAGCCUGAAGAAUUAUUCAAGUUAUUUGUUUAUAGCAUGGUGAGGAUCCUUUCGCUAGUUCAUGUUACAGUAAGGAAAACAUGAAUUUGUAUCUUAUUCUUUUUUUUGGUUGAUGUAAUAUUUGUUUUCCCCUGGCAAAAAGUUAUAUUAGUUUCAGUUUCUUAUUCAGUUAAAAUGUGCACACUACAAUCUCGAAGUUUAUGCAAAAGCUCAGAUGGAAAUCAUUCUUACACUCAUGUUAUCCAAUAUAAAUUGUUAAAUAAUUGAAAAAAUUUGAAGGUGCGAUACAAGAACAUCAUACCUUGGUAUUCUCGUCACAUGUAUAUGACUCAUAUUGUUGAAAUCUCACCUCUAAAUCGAGUUUAGUGCUCUUUUUUGGAAAUAUAGGUACUUCUGAAUUCCUGCAAUCUCUGUACUAAUUUUGUAUUUCGUGGGGAGCCACAGAUAUUUCCAAAUACUAGAAUGAUGCAUGAUUGGUCAGCACACAAACUCUUGGCCAGGUUCCUCUCACAUCUUAUCUUGUUUGUAAUAUAUUCUUCUUAAACUGUUAACACGAUGAGCAUGUACUUGUUUCAUCCAAGAACGUAAACAUGAAAAGUAUUCCUCUUGUGCACUCUCCUUCCCUGACAUACAGGGCACACUACGGUGGUUGGAUGAUACAACCAUAAACAGACAGCUAAGCGAUCAGAUGCGGCGACUGUGCGAGUGUGUCAGGUAUGUCGAAUUCACUGAUCCCAAACUAUUGGAUCUGACUAGGAUCUCCUCUUCUCUGUAAUACUUAGGACCUUCUCCUCUACCUACUCGGGCCAACAGUUUCAGCAUCCAGCAACCAUGGUGACAAAGAUGAACGUACUGGAACUGCUCUAAGUUUCAACAUUCUCGGUAAACAAGUGAACUAAGAAAGCCAAUCCUACUUAGUAAAUGUUGGCAUAUACUAAUACGCUGGCACUACUUAGUUUGCAUGAAUGUUGUGGUCUUCUAAAUUGCUAGAAUAAUUUCAAGUAGUUUAGUAGGAGUCUCUGCUUGUUUAACUAGCCAAGUUUGAGUCUAAUUUGAUUAGGGUGAUUAGUUAGUUUUCCAACAUGUCUGGUUUGCAUGCCAUAAGCAUUUGUCUUCUUGGGUGGGUCGUAGUCCAUAUAUGAUUCAAUGAGUUUGCAUAGCUAGCUGCCUACAUGCUGUACUAUCAUAUCUUGUAGUUAGCAUGCUUUACUAGUCUAGGAAAGGGCGCUGGAGUCUGAGUCGUUUUAGAUGCUAUAAGUACGAGCAGCUUUAGAUUGUUUCGGCCAUGUAGCUGGUCAUAUCGUGUAACCAGGUCGUGCAAGUUUUUUUUCCAUAUUAGAACAAGGUCAUGUAAGAGUUUUGAUAUAAAAGAAGAAAGAGUACGUUAAAGUUUUUCAUGCACAUGUGUACAGCUAUUUUGAUGUUUGAUUCUGUGGGCAAAACCGAACAUAGAUUACUAAUACAUAUGCCAAAUCACCAGGUUACAGAGGCUCGAUUGUUCCAAGUCGAUGUUGUUGGCGCUAAAACAUAAAAGACUACUAGUGCCAAGCUGGAUUUACUAGGAGGUAUUUUCUGAUGGUAGUUCCAUAUUGCGUGAAUGAUUCUUCACCAGUUUGAAUGGAAAUUUUGGAGUAUUAAUAGCAUACUUGACUAUAUUUUAUUAUCUUGCACAUGUUUCUCUCUUUUUUCACAUAAUUUGUACAAGCGAACACUUUUCUUGCAUGUGAAAAUGGUCGUACUGCUUAUGUGAGAUAAGACUCUUUGCGGCUAGAUUAGGUAAAACAAUUCAUCAACUACUGUAUGCCUGCCUUACAAUCCCCAACCCCUAUAAAACACUUUGUUUCUAGUAACAUGGUGAAACUUAAUAAUGAAAUUAGCUGAGUUAGUUUACUGAGCUAAAAUGACUAUUAUUAGCUACAAAUGUGAUACUGGAUAAAUCCGAACAAGAACCCUGCUUUUACUUCAAUCCAAAGGAUCAACCCCGAAUAUAAAGCUAAAGUUGAUGUUGUUAAACUUGGUAAUGAAUUCAUGGUAUUGUGAGCUGAUGCUAUAUUAGCAGAAUCUUAUUAGUCUCUACAACUACAAAAAAGGUCAAAAUUAUUAGUCACGCAGCAAGAUUAAUUAUCACAUUUCUUCAACUUUCUAUGUUGCUCCUCCUUUCAAUUUUUCUGCCCUAUUAACCUAUUUAAUUUCUUUGUUGUAGAUUGCAAUAUUCGAUGACGCAUGGCUCAGAUGUUGGUUGCAAGGUCAAGAAUAGGGGUGCUACUAGAUAGUUUCACAUUAUGCCUUAGAAUGCCAUUUCCAGUGCCAAUGUUUCAAUCAUUAUGUUUCGGAUAUUUUUGGUGUCAAUAUUUCGAUCAUUAUGUUUCAGAAUGGCUGACACGUUGGCUGCAAGGUCAAGAAUGAGAUUACUACUAGUUUCACAUCUUGUAAUUUUUGUAUGGUGUACUUUGUAAUGCAACCAAGUUGAUUUAAUAUAUGAGAAAUUUCCGUUUAUUAUACUGUGUCCCUUGUGUAAUACCGAUAUUGUCUAAUUCUAGACGCUGAUGUAUAAAUAUCAUGUAUUUUUUAUGGAAUGCACUAGUAUUGUAGUACUCAUUUAUAAUCAUGUUCUGUUGGGUAGCCACCAACGCAUGUGAACCGUUGUUGGGCUCUAACUCUAUACGUUGCUAUCUUACAACACUUAUUCAGGCCGUUUACCAACGGAUGC